GGGGUGUAGUUCAGCAGUAGAGCACCUGCUCUGCAUGCAGAAUGUCCCAGGUUCGUUCCCCUGCAUCACCA